rfam:Desulfobacter postgatei 2ac9 chromosome, whole genome shotgun sequence.
GUACGGGCGACGGUGUGCUUCGAAAGGAAGCAGCCUUGCUGAGGCAAGGUACGGCGAAGGUACGGGAUGACGAACAGGAAUCGGGUAUAAGGCGCACAUACCGGGACGAGUCUGCACCACAAGGAUCAGAGACCGAAGCGGAGCACAGGGGCGGAGCAACUCGUAAUACCCAGAUAGUCAACAACAAGGCCCCCGGGUUUGUCCUUGUAGACCCGGUUCACCCUGGCGAUGGCCUGCAUC